GGGGAUUUCCCCAACUCCUUCAUAAAUAUAAAAGUGUGUUCUUGAUCAGAUUCUCUUAAUCUACCCCUUUCUUAGUCUCUAAUCUCUUAAUCUCUCUAAGUCUCUUUGUUUCUGAUUCAAGUUCAUACUAGUUUCAUCACACCUCUUAUUCAACUAGUUCAAGACCUUAUCAUUGCCUUUAAUGGCUUUUCUUACACAUACACAGCCAGAGCUCUCAAAUCUCAUAGUGAUCAUCCGUACAAGGUAAAAGGGGUCAAAGUAACUAUCCAAGUAACUCCCAUGUACUGAGCUUAAGUUACACUCGGC
rnacentral:lncRNA from 1 species